UACGUAGGGUGCAAGCGUUGUCCGGAAUUAUUGGGCGUAAAGAGCUCGUAGGCGGUUUGUCGCGUCUGCUGUGAAAACGCGGGGCUCAACUCCGCGCCUGCAGUGGGUACGGGCAGACUAGAGUGCAGUAGGGGAGACUGGAAUUCCUGGUGUAGCGGUGGAAUGCGCAGAUAUCAGGAGGAACACCGGUGGCGAAGGCGGGUCUCUGGGCUGAUAACUGACGCUGAGGAGCGAAAGCGUGGGUAGCGAACAGG
rnacentral:rRNA from 1 species